rnacentral:rRNA from 1 species
UACAGAGGGGGCAAGCGUUGUUCGGAAUUACUGGGCGUAAAGGGCGCGUAGGCGGCCGCCUAAGUCAGACGUGAAAUCCCUCGGCUCAACCGGGGAACUGCGUCUGAUACUGGGUGGCUUGAAUCCGGGAGAGGGAUGCGGAAUUCCAGGUGUAGCGGUGAAAUGCGAAGAUAUCUGGAGGAACACCGGUGGCGAAGGCGGCAUCCUGGACCGGCAUUGACGCUGAGGCGCGAAAGCCAGGGGAGCAAACGGG